GACGAACGCUGGCGGCGUGCUUAACACAUGCAAGUCGAACGGAAAGGCCCUGCUUUUGUGGGGUGCUCGAGUGGCGAACGGGUGAGUAACACGUGAGUAACCUGCCCUUGACUUUGGGAUAACUUCAGGAAACUGGGGCUAAUACCGGAUAGGAGCUCCUGCUGCAUGGUGUGGGUUGGAAAGUUUCGGCGGUUGGGGAUGGACUCGCGGCUUAUCAGCUUGUUGGUGGGGUAGUGGCUUACCAAGGCUUUGACGGGUAGCCGGCCUGAGAGGGUGACCGGCCACAUUGGGACUGGGAUACGGCCCAGUCUCCUACGGGAGGCAGCAGUGGGGAAUAUUGCACAAUGGGCGGAAGCCUGAGGCAGCAACGCCGCGUGCGGGAUGACGGCCUUCGGGUUGUAAACCGCUUUCGCCUGUGACGAAGCGUGAGUGACGGUAAUGGGUAAAGAAGCACCGGCUAACUACGUG
rnacentral:rRNA from 1 species